GCUUCUAAGGACAGUCCUGAGGUGUGCCUGUCACUUUCUGGAGGGAAAAGCAAAGCAUCUCAGAUCAAACCCAGACAAGACAAAGAGUCUAAAGACUCGUUCAGUCGGGCAACAGAUCCAAAGAUGCCUUGUUCAACGCCGCUCCGCUCCGAAUCUUGUAAAGACUCCACACACAGUCCAAACACAGACUCGUCGACGUGACAACUGCUCUGCUAAAGAAUGAAUAUAUUGUGUUGGUAUGGCCAUCACGGCAAAGGAAUAAAGGCAUCUGUAACAAUCCCCACUUAUGCCACGGUCACAUGACCCGAGGGUAGUGUGGUUGCUGAAUGGGCGGAGUCGGUAACGAAAGCACAGGUCAGUGGCACUUUGUGCAUCGAAGAAAUAAAACUCUAGUAUAAGGCUACACGGGUGUAUGCUUGUCUGAUACUAGUCGAGUAAGGACAUUGUGGUUCAAGAGUUUCUGUCAGGAUGGUUGGUAUUCGUCUUCUGUGCCCCGCCACAAAAACGACCGCCCGCUUCCCAUGGUCAGACAAAGAUAAGUUUAGCAAGAAAGCAAAAAUAAUCCAUUUGCAAUUCAUUAAGAUUGUUCAGGGGAAACAGUUUUUGGCCACUACUGAGAGCUUGAGGAGGUAUAAAGAGAAAAAAAAAAAAGCACAAGAGGAUCCAGAGGAACGUCGUCUUCGGGGUAAGAGUCAAAGCUGUAGGUUCCACAGUACUGGAAUUGCUUUUUUUCUCUUUACAUUCCUAUAGGAAGUAAUGCUGGUAUAAGGAAAACCUUCGAUAAUCAUCAUAUCUUAUUCUGUAGUCCAAAACAUGUUUUUUGUCUUUAUUUUUAUAUCGCCAAAGUUCUUCAAGACUACUAAGACUUCACAAACACACGGAGACGUUACAAAAUAAAUAUACAUUACAACCGUAUCACAGUUCAUAAUUUCAUCAUAAAUAUUAAAUAAAUAAUAAAUAG